ACGUAUGGUGAAGCGACACAGAAGCACAUAAAUGAUUACGCUGAUGCUGGCCUGAGGACACUAGUUCUUGCAUACCGGCCUGAGGACACUAGUUCUUGCAUACCGUCAACUUGAGGAGAUCGAAUACACUAAAUUCAAAAGGAACUUCACAGCAGCUAAGAAUUCUGCCAGCGCUGAUCGGGAUGAGCUGAUUGACAAAGCGACAUAUUUGAUAGAGAGGGAUUUGAUUCUGUUUGGAGCCGCCGCCGUUGAGGACAAGCUGCAAAAGGGGGUACCUGACUCACUGACUGCAUCGACAAACUUGCUAAGGCCGGCAUCAAGAUAUGAGUGCUGACGGGCGACAAGACGGAGACCGCCCUCAACAUCGGAUAUGCCUGCAGUCUACUCAGACAAGGGAUGAAACAAAUAACCAUCACACUGGAUACACCAGAUAUCAUUGCCUUGGAGAAAGGUGGUGACAAAGGAGCCAUUAAUAAGGUAGAUAAAGUAUUGCAGAUUAUAGUUACCGAGUCCUCUGUCUAGUACACUGACCAAUUCUUAUGUAGUUUAUACUAUCUAUGUGUUCAUUUUCGGUUCUG